rnacentral:tRNA from 1 species
GGAUGGGUGGCAGAGCGGUUGAAUGCACUGGUCUUGAAAACCAGCGAAGGUGCAAGCCUUCCGUGGGUUCGAAUCCCACCCCAUCCGCCA